rnacentral:lncRNA from 1 species
UAUGCCGCUCGAGCGGCACAGUCUUGCCGCCUGAGCGCCAGUGACCAGGCCAGAUUUCACAUUUUAAACUGUUUGGGCCCACAUCGAUUUUUAAAAGCCUUAACCUCCUUCACUUUCCCUUUCUUCUUACAUCUCCUCACCGUCACAACCCCUGUCACAUUCACCCAUUCCCAUUUUUACUGUUUAACACUCCAAUAUCUCAACUUUUCACACCAAACUCACAUUCCCUCACACUUUCUCCCUUUUCACUCCCUUCUCCCUCUCCAUUCAAACCCAUCAACUCUUGGUGUCUAAUCACUC